ACGCGUGUAGCAAUACACGAGUGGCGCACGGGUGAGUAACGCGUGGGAACAUCCCUUUCAGUUCGGAAUAACAGCGGGAAACUGCUGCUAAUACCGGAUAUUCUCCUCGGAGGAAAGAUUUAUCGCUGAAAGAUUGGCCCGCGUCAGAUUAGCUAGUUGGUGGGGUAACGGCUCACCAAGGCUCCGAUCUGUAGCUGGUCUGAGAGGACGACCAGCCACACUGGAACUGAGACACGGUCCAGACUCCUACGGGAGGCAGCAGUGGGGAAUAUUGGACAAUGGGCGAAAGCCUGAUCCAGCCAUGCCGCGUGAAUGAUGAAGGCCUUAGGGUUGUAAAGUUCUUUUGCCAGGGAAGAUAAUGACGGUACCUGGAGAAUAAGCACCGGCUAACUUCGUGCCAGCAGCCGCGGUAAUACGAAGGGUGCUAGCGUUGUUCGGAAUUACUGGGCGCAAAGCGCGCGUAGGCGGUGAUGCAAGUCAGGGGUGAAAUCCCGGAGCUUAACUCCGGAACUGCCUUUGAAACUGCAUUGCUGGAGUGUGUGAGGGGAUAGCGGAAUUCCUAAUGUAGAGGUG
rnacentral:rRNA from 1 species